rnacentral:miRNA from 3 species
GUCCGCUCGGCGGUGGCCCA